CACUUUUCUAGUCCAGCCCGGCUCCGCCCUCUUGCCAUCAAGAUGACAGCCCUACCCACUCGCGGGAUUGUGCUGGCGUGGUCCUGGGUGCCCCAGCCUGUGCCCCCCUACGGCGCAGCGUGUGCCGGUCGUAAUCUGGAAAAUCCCAAACUCUCUAGAGUGCGGAGCCAGGCCGAUGCACUCGGUGGGGUUAAAAGUGCUCCCUGAGUGAGACUGGACUCCUAAAUGGCUGAGCCAUACCGAGGGUGAGCGUCCAUGUGCUCCCCUGAAGAGAGCGGCGACCACCGGCUUGCCUCCUAGGGCAGCAGGAAAAGAGCGAUCCCACGGCGGGCGCGUGCCAGCCUCCCUGGUCACCAACCCAAGAUCUUCAGGGGCAGGAUGGAUCCAAAAGGGACUCAGCACCAUGUAGUGACUCAAGACCCCAGACUCAAGAGAUGCGGGACUUGUAUCAGAAUAUGUGAAAAACUCCUACGACCAGAGAGAGAAAAAGCAGCCAGCCAAUGAAAAUGCAUGAAGGAUUCAAAUAGAUACCUACCCAGAGAAGAUACCCGUGAGUUGCAAAUGAACAGCCUCGUUGCUGCUUGAGGUACUGGCAGGCAUCGCCCCUCCUUUAGCUACCUCAGUGUGGACCAUGUUCUGCUGUCGUUGCUACUAUGCAAGCACAGAGAGUCCAUGCCAAAGCUUGCUUUCCUGCUCCUGUUGACAGUGAACACCUACAGUGACCAGAUCCCAGGCAAGGUUGGCAACCCCACAGGACCACAUGUCUCUUCUUGGUCGGACCCCCAGAUGUCUCCUCAUCUGAGCAACACCCUGCGGGUCCAGGCUCCUCUGUGUCCUUUUGAUGCUGCUCUCACCACAGAACAUAUGUGACAGGCCUGCUGAUUGGUGUCCAUGCUUGUCUACAGUUUGUGGUGUCAUGUUCCAGACUCAGCCUCAUGGCGGUCACAAUCCAACUGUCCUCAAGGAAGCCCGCUGUGCCAAGUCCUCAGGUGCUGUCAGGCUGUGACCUCCAACUCAUGGCACCAGACUCUGGUAGGGAAGUGGAGCUAAUCAGGUAACACACAGGAAGCUGAGCAUGAGAAGUGCUGUCUCAGUGCUGUUUCUAGUACCUUCUCCUGAGAGGAUUCUUGGGAAAGAGAGGGGGAAAAAAUGGCAGCAUAGUCACUCAGAGAUUUGAGAAUUUGGAGGUGAUCUAGAACCCACUGCUGAGACAAAGAUAUUCUAGUUAUAGUUGUUUAAUGUAUCUAAAUUUUAUUUGUUUAUUUAUAUAUUAUAAUGCUGGGGAUUUGAAAUUAGGGCCUCGUGUAUGUCAUGCAAGUGUUCCAUAAUUGAACUACACCUCCAGGACUACACAGAGAGACCCUGUCUCGAAAUAAAAGAAAGGAACAAA